ensembl:ncRNA Y51B9A.12 ncRNA
AGGAAAUUGAAAAUUGGGAUACCAAAAAGUUUCCAAUAACUGCAAUCCAAACACCCCAGAUAACGAUAGAGGAAACAAUUUUGCGGAUUGGAGUCUGCAUUUUUAUUUAUUUGAAAACAUUAAU